GGAGAUGUAGCUCAGUAGUAGAGAAAUUGUUUGGCAUGUGUGAGGCCCUGGGUUCAAUUCUCAGCAGCACCA
rnacentral:tRNA from 1 species